CAGGGCAUAGAUAUAGAUUUUCUUCCCCAUAUAAGGUGCUUAACUCUGUAUUCAGCUAUCAUUGGGAUACAGAUGAAGGUCAGUGGGGUUGUAAAUGUUAAAUAACUCUGAGUCUAGGAUGUUGGAUAUGUGUUGACGUUUUCCUUGGUGAUGGCAGAUAGAGUGUGAGUAAGAUGCCAGAAUUCUCAAAGUGUGAUGGAAGUAACUGAUGGGAGGUUGGCAGAUGACAGCGACAAGGCCGGGCAGAGGGAACAUGGUGCAUCUGAAUAGCAUGAAGCUAAAAGAAAGAAGAUAUUUUGCCUGUGGGUAGAUGGCAGCCAUGCAAUGAAAAGAUUGGAGACGGCUUCCCUGCCUCCUGACCAUAGAAGUAGGUUGCAAAGAAUCCAGAUAUCAGACACACCGCGGAGCUGGAGAUCUUAUACUAUACAAAUGCUCAAUCUAACUCCCAACAAACUGACACAACCACAGAUCUUCACUGUCAAAGCAGCAGAGACAACCAAAUAAAGAAGUGGCAAGGAGAGGAUGCUGGAGCUCAAGAAGCACCAGUCCUGGAGGACUUCCUGAAAGAAGGAAAUCACAAUCACUGGUUUGAAUGGAUUAAUCAAGACCUGUGAACAGCUGUCUGCACUAAUGGCCAAUUUCCCAGAGAUCAAAGCCACGUGGCUGUGGGGACAGACUUUCAGCUGCUUUUCUUGCAUCCUGUUCUGAUCAGAGUGAUGUAUCACUUGAAUGUCAUAAUCAGCUCACGGUCUUUUUACUGCAGCUGUCCGGUCCCAGACUGUUGAGUAUGAGAUGAUUUAAUGGUUUGAGCCCAUGCUUUAUCUGCUUUAUAAACGACUCUGUGAUUAAAAAAAAAAAAUCCUCCAUAAGGAUCUAUGAAAUGGGAGGAGGCGAUACUGAGAAAACCCAAAAGGCUUCAUUUAGUCUCUUCUUCCUUUGAUUCAGGGGUACACACGUUGUGACAAGGAAGUGCUUGUGCCCAGCUUCAGUGAAAUGGAGCUGAGUGAGGGUGCAGCUCGUGUGUGUGUGUGUGUGUGUGUGUGUGUGUGAACAUCCGGGGUCCUUUGGCACCAUCUCUCAGAGGAGGAGGUUCUGGGGCACAGGCUCCUGUCUCUGGGCUCACACCCCACUAUCCAUGGACCCCAGAAACCUCCAGGGCAAGACCUAAAUAUCAAGGCUCCGGUGAUCUCCCUGUUAACCCCAGAGAACGAACUACAAUGGUCUAAGCAUUGGAUCUGUUGCUAAGUUGCCCCAGCCAGGAAGGAUGUUCUGAGCCUGUAUGGGCCCUUCACACCCAGGCGGACUGGACCCUUGGAUGGGGCGGGCACAUGGGGCAGCAGCCUGAUGGAGGAGGCCUGCAGACCAGCUCUCCUGGUGGCCUGACCACAGGCCCCGGGAGCUCCACGGUGUGAACUUUGUCCCCAGGCCCCAUGCCGCCCUGUGGGUUUCCCAGAUGCCACUCAAACUCUUGCACUGAAGCCUGCCUCCCUUCUCCUUUGCCAUGCCCCCUCAUGUCCAGGGCCUCAGCUCAUAGGACCUUCCCCACAGUGUCUAUUCAGCAUCUGAGCCAGCAGGCCACCAGAUGGGUUCCAAAGGGACUUCUUGGCAUCUAGUAGCUCAAUAAAAAUUUGGUGGAUGCAGCUUUAUUUACGGUGGCCAAGACAUGCAAACAACCAAAGUGUCCUUUAAUAGAUGAAUGGAUAAAGAAGAUGUGGUA